UACGUAGGGGGCAAGCGUUGUCCGGAUUCAUUGGGCGUAAAGAGCGUGUAGGCGGCCAGGUAGGUCGGUUGUGAAAACUGGAGGCUCAACCUUCAGAGGUCGACCGAAACCAUCUGGCUAGAGUCCGGGAGAGGAGAGUGGAAUUCCUGGUGUAGCGGUGAAAUUCGUAGAUAUCGGGAGGAACACCAGUGGCGAAGGCGGCGAUCUGGGAAGAUACUGACGCUGAGGUGCGAAAGCGUGGGGAGCAAACAGG
rnacentral:rRNA from 1 species